rnacentral:ncRNA from 2 species
CUUGCUCUAACGGGGUGCCUGCAUCAACAGGCUGAGAGGCUGGAAUUAUCCAGUCAACCCGCGGAACCUGAUCCGGUUUGUACCGGCGGAGGGAUUAGAUGCGGCUUUAAA